AGCAGCCGCGGUAAUUCCAGCUCCAAUAGCGUAUAUUAAAGUUGUUGCAGUUAAAAAGCUCGUAGUUGAAUUUCGGGAUCAAUAUGUUGGUCGUGCCUCGGUACGUACUAGCUUAUUGGUUUCUCCUUUCUGAAGAACCAUGAUGUCAUUUAUUUGGUGUCGUGGGGAAUCAGGACUGUUACUUUGAAAAAAUUAGAGUGUUUAAAGCAGGCUCACGCUUGAAUACAUUAGCAUGGAAUAAUGAAAUAGGACGUUUGAUUCUAUUUUGUUGGUUUCUAGGAUCGACGUAAUGAUUAAUAGGGAUAGUUGGGGGCAUUAGUAUUCAAUUGUCAGAGGUGAAAUUCUUGGAUUUAUUGAAGACUAACUACUGCGAAAGCAUUUGCCAAGGAUGUUUUCAUUAAUCAAGAACGAAAGUUAGAGGAUCGAAGACGAUCAGAUACCGUCGUAGUCUUAACCAUAAACUAUGCCGACUAGGGAUCGGAUGAUGUAAUUUUUAAUGACUCAUUCGGCGCCUUAAC
rnacentral:rRNA from 1 species